rfam:Coniophora puteana RWD-64-598 SS2 unplaced genomic scaffold CONPTscaffold_2, whole genome shotgun sequence.
UCCGAUGUGGUGUAGUGGCUAACAUUGCUGUCUUUCAUAUUAUCUGAUCACAGCAGCCCCGGGUUCGAUUCCCGGCGUCGGAA